AUGGGAUAGUCUGCCCCUGACUUCAACGCCACCGCCGUGGUGGAUGGUACUUUCAAAGAAGUGAAGCUGUCGGACUGCAAAGAGAAGUACGUAGUCCUCUUUUUCUACCCUCUGCACUUCACUUUUGUGUGGCCCAUGGAGAUCAUCGCGUUCAGCGACCAUGCCGAGGACUUCUGCAAGCUGGGCUGCGAAGUGCUGGGCAUCUCAGUGGACUCUCAGUUCACCCACCUGGCUUGGAUCAACAACCCCCAGAGGGAGGGAGACUUGGGCCCCCUGAACAUCCCCCUGCUUGCUAAAGUGACCAGAGGCUUGUCUGAGGAUUAUGCCGUGCUGAAAACAGAUGCGGGCAUUGCCUACGGGGCCGCUUUAUCAGUGAUGGCAGGGGUGUCCUUCCCAGAUCACUGUUAAUGAUUUGCCUGUGGGACGCUCCGUGUUUGAGGCUCUGCAGCUGGUCCAGGCCUUCCAGUACACAGAAGAGCAUGCGGAAGUUUGUCCUGCUGUCUGGAAGCCUGGCAGUGACACGAUUAAGCCCAACGUGGAUAACAGCAAGGAAUAUUUCUCCAAACACAAUUAGGCUGGCUGAGGGAUAGUGAGCUUGUGCCCUUACCUAGGUGCCUGUGCUGGCUGCCCACCAGUGCUGUCACCUGGGUGCCCUGUGCUGACCCAGGAAAGGCCUGAUCUGCCCCUCCAAAGUCCACAGUCUGGGACCCUGGAAGGCUAGGCCAAGGCCUUCUCAGGC